GACGAACGCUGGCGGCAUGCCGAACACAUGCAAGUCGAGCGAGCAGUUCCCUUCGGGGUGAAGCUAGCGGCGGACGGGUGAGUAACACGUGGGCAACCUGCCUCAUAGAGGGGAAUAGCCUUCCGAAAGGAAGAUUAAUACCGCAUAAGAUUGUAGCUUCGCAUGAAGUAGCAAUUAAAGGAGCAAUCCACUAUGAGAUGGGCCCGCGGCGCAUUAGCUAGUUGGUGAGGUAACGGCUCACCAAGGCGACGAUGCGUAGCCGACCUGAGAGGGUGAUCGGCCACAUUGGGACUGAGACACGGCCCAGACUCCUACGGGAGGCAGCAGUGGGGAAUAUUGCACAAUGGGGGAAACCCUGAUGCAGCAAUGCCGCGUGAGUGAUGACGGCCUUCGGGUUGUAAAGCUCUGUCUUCGGGGACGAUAAUGACGGUACCCGAGGAGGAAGCCACGGCUAACUACGUGCCAGCCGCCGCGGUAA
rnacentral:rRNA from 1 species